UACAGAGACUGCAAGCCGUUUAUUCGGGAUUCAACUGGGCGUAAAGGGUGCGCAGGCGGUCGGGUGUGUCAGAAUGGUGAAUCCCGAGGCUCAACCUCGGAACUGCGUCUGAAACUACUCGACUAGAGUACUGGAGAGGGUAACGGAAUUCACGGUGUAGCAGUGAAAUGCGUAGAUAUCGUGGAGGAACACCAGAGGCGAAGGCGGUUACCUGGACAGUUACUGACGCUCAGGCACGAAAGCAUGGGGAGCAAAAGGG
rnacentral:rRNA from 1 species